rfam:Populus trichocarpa isolate Nisqually-1 chromosome 8, whole genome shotgun sequence.
UCUAGAACCUGAGAUAUGGAUUAAACAUUGAACAAUAUCUAGGCUGUAGGACAGAUUCAAACUUCUCUUUUGAUGCUAAGAUUUGGACUCCAAAACAGCAGAAUUAAGUCUUGGACUCUUCAUGAAUAUUUUAGGCCUAUAUCUUAGCUUUCUAUC